AGUGAACGCUGGCGGUAGGCCUAACACAUGCAAGUCGAACGGCAGCACAGUAAGAGCUUGCUCUUACGGGUGGCGAGUGGCGGACGGGUGAGGAAUACAUCGGAAUCUACUUUUUCGUGGGGGAUAACGUAGGGAAACUUACGCUAAUACCGCAUACGACCUACGGGUGAAAGCAGGGGAUCUUCGGACCUUGCUCGAUUGAAUGAGCCGAUGUCGGAUUAGCUAGUUGGCGGGGUAAAGGCCCACCAAGGCGACGAUCCGUAGCUGGUCUGAGAGGAUGAUCAGCCACACUGGAACUGAGACACUGUCCAGACUCCUACGGGAGGCAGCAGUGGGGAAUAUUGGACAAUGGGCGCAAGCCUGAUCCAGCCAUACCGCGUGGGUGAAGAAGGCCUUCGGGUUGUAAAGCCCUUUUGUUGGGAAAGAAAAGCAGCAGGUUAAUACCCCGCUGUUCUGACGGUACCCAAAGAAUAAGCACCGGCUAACUUCGUG
rnacentral:rRNA from 1 species